UCCGCAGCGCAUGUUUCAUCACCACAUUGGGAAAACUCACGCCCUUGAGGCGGGCCGUACGGAUAUAUUGUGCGGUCAUCACCUCGGCCAUGCUCGCCCGCGUCAUCCGUGCGAUAUACCCCAUGCCAUAGAGCGCGAUGGUCAGCACCGGCAAAAAGAAAUUCUCGAAAUUCGCCCC
rnacentral:ncRNA from 1 species